rnacentral:rRNA from 1 species
AUUGAACGCUGGCGGCAUGCCUUACACAUGCAAGUCGAACGGCAGCACGGGAGCAAUCCUGGUGGCGAGUGGCGAACGGGUGAGUAAUACAUCGGAACGUGCCCAAUCGUGGGGGAUAACGCAGCGAAAGCUGUGCUAAUACCGCAUACGAUCUACGGAUGAAAGCAGGGGAUCGCAAGACCUUGCGCGAAUGGAGCGGCCGAUGGCAGAUUAGGUAGUUGGUGAGGUAAAUGCUCACCAAGCCGUCGAUCUGUAGCUGGUCUGAGAGGACGACCAGCCACACUGGGACUGAGACACGGCCCAGACUCCUACGGGAGGCAGCAGUGGGGAAUUUUGGACAAUGGGCGAAAGCCUGAUCCAGCCAUGCCGCGUGCAGGAUGAAGGCCUUCGGGUUGUAAACUGCUUUUGUACGGAACGAAACGGCCUUUUCUAAUAAAGAGGGCUAAUGACGGUACCGUAAGAAUAAGCACCGGCUAACUACGUGCCAGCAGCCGCGGUAAUACGUAGGGUGCAAGCGUUAAUCGGAAUUACUGGGCGUAAAGCGUGCGCAGGCGGUUAUGUAAGACAGUUGUGAAAUCCCCGGGCUCAACCUGGGAACUGCAUCUGUGACUGCAUAGCUAGAGUACGGUAGAGGGGGAUGGAAUUCCGCGUGUAGCAGUGAAAUGCGUAGAUGUGCGGAGGAACACCGAUGGCGAAGGCAAUCCCCUGGACCUGUACUGACGCUCAUGCACGAAGCGUGGGGAGCAAACAGG